AACGAACGCUGGCGGCAUGCCUAACACAUGCAAGUCGAACGGGACCUUCGGGCUUAGUGGCGCACGGCUGCUUAACGCGGGGGAACCUGCCCUUAAGUUCCGUACAACUCACUGAGAGGUGUGCUAAGACCGGUUAAGCUCAUCCGAGCAAGGAUCUAUCGCCGUUGGAUGGGCGCGGGUUGGAUUAGCCAGUUGGUAGUGUAAUAGCAUGUCAAUGGCACGUUCCUUAGCUGGUCGGGGAGGAUGAUCAGCCAGGAUGGGACUGCGACACGGCCCAGACUGCGACGGAGGGCAGCAGUGUGGAGUAUUAGAGAAUGGGCGAUAGCCUGAUCCAGCCAUGCCGCGUGAGUGAUGAAGGGCUUAGGGUUGUAAAUCUCUUUUACCCGGGAUGAUAAUGACAGUAACGGGAGAAUAAGCUCCGGCUAACUCCGUG
rnacentral:rRNA from 1 species